rnacentral:rRNA from 1 species
CAGCCGCCACGGUAAUACGAAGGGUGCAAGCGUUAAUCGGAAUUACUGGGCGUAAAGCGUGCGUAGGCGGUGAGUUAAGUCUGCUGUGAAAUCCCCGGGCUCAACCUGGGAAUUGCAGUGGAUACUGGGUCACUAGAGUGUGGUAGAGGAUAGUGGAAUUUCCGGUGUAGCAGUGAAAUGCGUAGAGAUCGGAAGGAACAUCUGUGGCGAAGGCGACUAUCUGGGCCAACACUGACACUGAGGCACGAAAGCGUUGGGAGCAAACAGGAUUAGAUACCCCAGUAGUCCCUGUCUCUUAUAC